GAAUUCGCAAUGAAGAGGAGGAGUACACUUAUUUUCUUUUCAAGAGAGUUCCUGGCUGGUGUAAAGGAAUAAAGAGGAAAGUGGAAGGUAGCCUUGGAGCCAAUUCUAUGAAUGAAGUAGUAGAGUUCGUAUGACUGCGUUAAAGUCUUGAGGCAUAAUUCACAUUAUGUAAAAAAAGGUGGUACCACGAGCAAAUCGUCCUUUAC
rnacentral:ncRNA from 1 species